GAUGAACGCUGGCGGCGUGCUUAACACAUGCAAGUCGAACGGGAAUUACUUUAUUGAAACUUCGGUCGAUUUAAUUUAAUUCUAGUGGCGGACGGGUGAGUAACGCGUGGGUAACCUGCCUUGUACAGGGGGAUAACAGUCAGAAAUGACUGCUAAUACCGCAUAAGCGCACAGGACCGCAUGGUCCAGUGUGAAAAACUCCGGUGGUAUAAGAUGGACCCGCGUUGGAUUAGCUAGUUGGUGGGGUAACGGCCUACCAAGGCGACGAUCCAUAGCCGGCCUGAGAGGGUGAACGGCCACAUUGGGACUGAGACACGGCCCAGACUCCUACGGGAGGCAGCAGUGGGGAAUAUUGCACAAUGGGGGAAACCCUGAUGCAGCGACGCCGCGUGAAGGAAGAAGUAUCUCGGUAUGUAAACUUCUAUCAGCAGGGAAGAAA
rnacentral:rRNA from 1 species